AGGCAGUGAGUGUCCAAAAAUCCAACCAGGGAGCAUGGCAGUGAGACACAGGUUAAUAUGAAAACCAAUUGGAGACAUAUACUGGAAUAUACUUAUUUGAUGUGUUGCAUUACUAUUGCUACAAGUUGAAGUCAUGAGAUCUUCAUCUUCCCGUCUAAGUUUCUCUUCGAAAGAACCAAUAUGGAACCGGAUGCCAGAUCAAAUAUCGGUGUCGGAGUUUCUGUCGGAAACAACAGAGGAUUACAACUCUCCCACCACAUCUAGUUUCACCACCCGCCUGCAAAGCUGCAGGAACACAAUCAACGUGUUGGAGGAGGUAAGAAACUGCCUGAUUUCUCGUGCAUUAUUGCAUUACAUGUGUUUACCUUGCACAAUCCAUAUAUACCCUAUUACAUACAAUAAAACUGUGUUUAUGUGUAUCAGUGCGCCUAUUGCACCUGUUUGCGUUAGGUACGUAGCUUAUAUUGCAUCUGUUUAUAUAAU